rnacentral:rRNA from 1 species
CUUACACAUGCAGUCGAACGGCAGCACGGACUUCGGUCUGGUGGCGAGUGGCGAACGGGUGAGUAAUGUAUCGGAACGUGCCCAGUAGCGGGGGAUAACUACGCGAAAGCGUAGCUAAUACCGCAUACGCCCUACGGGGGAAAGCAGGGGAUCGCAAGACCUUGCACUAUUGGAGCGGCCGAUAUCGGAUUAGCUAGUUGGUGGGGUAACGGCUCACCAAGGCGACGAUCCGUAGCUGGUUUGAGAGGACGACCAGCCACACUGGGACUGAGACACGGCCCAGACUCCUACGGGAGGCAGCAGUGGGGAAUUUUGGACAAUGGGGGAAACCCUGAUCCAGCCAUCCCGCGUGUGCGAUGAAGGCCUUCGGGUUGUAAAGCACUUUUGGCAGGAAAGAAACGUCGUGGGUUAAUACCCCGCGAAACUGACGGUACCUGCAGAAUAAGCACCGGCUAACUACGUGCCAGCAGCCGCGGUAAUACGUAGGGUGCAAGCGUUAAUCGGAAUUACUGGGCGUAAAGCGUGCGCAGGCGGUUCGGAAAGAAAGAUGUGAAAUCCCAGAGCUUAACUUUGGAACUGCAUUUUUAACUACCGAGCUAGAGUGUGUCAGAGGGAGGUGGAAUUCCGCGUGUAGCAGUGAAAUGCGUAGAUAUGCGGAGGAACACCGAUGGCGAAGGCAGCCUCCUGGGAUAACACUGACGCUCAUGCACGAAAGCGUGGGGAGCAAACAGGAUU